GGCGGACGGGUGAGUAACACGUGGGUAACCUGCCUGUAAGACUGGGAUAACUCCGGGAAACCGGAGCUAAUACCGGAUAGUUCCUUGAACCGCAUGGUUCAAGGAUGAAAGACGGUUUCGGCUGUCACUUACAGAUGGACCCGCGGCGCAUUAGCUAGUUGGUGAGGUAACGGCUCACCAAGGCGACGAUGCGUAGCCGACCUGAGAGGGUGAUCGGCCACACUGGGACUGAGACACGGCCCAGACUCCUACGGGAGGCAGCAGUAGGGAAUCUUCCGCAAUGGACGAAAGUCUGACGGAGCAACGCCGCGUGAGUGAUGAAGGUUUUCGGAUCGUAAAGCUCUGUUGUUAGGGAAGAACAAGUGCAAGAGUAACUGCUUGCACCUUGACGGUACCUAACCAGAAAGCCACGGCUAACUACGUGCCAGCAGCCGCGGUAAUACGUAGGUGGCAAGCGUUGUCCGGAAUU
rnacentral:rRNA from 1 species